rnacentral:rRNA from 1 species
ACAAAGUACAAGAGCAUUGUUGGUGGACUUCAGUACUUGACGAUCACGAGACCAGAUAUCUCUUAUGCUGUUAACAGGGUUUGUCAGUAUCUUCAGGCUCCCAGAGAUACUCAUUGGGCUGCUGUUAAACGCAUUCUUCGUUAUGUUCAGUUCACCCUGACAUUUGGUAUGCAUAUUCAGCCGACUUCCUCUCGGGUCCUUUCGGCCUUCUCUGAUGCAGAUUGGGCUGGUAGCCCAGAUGACAGGCGAUCCACGGGGGGUUAUGCAGUAUUCUUUGGCUCUAAUUUGAUCGCCUGGAGUGCUCGGAAACAGGCUACUGUGUCACGUAGCAGUACUGAAGCUGAGUACAAGGCUGUGGCUAAUGCUACUGCAGAGAUUAUUUGGGUGCAGUCUUUGCUUCAGGAGUUGGGUUUGUCUCAACCACAGCCUCCUAUUCUUUGGUAUGAUAACAUCGGUGCUACAUACCUUUCUGCAAAUCCAGUAUUUCAUGCCCGAAUGAAACACAUUGAAGUUGACUAUCACUUUGUACGGGAACGUGUAUCACAGAAGCAACUCCAGAUCAAGUUUAUCUCAUCUAAGGAUCAACUUGCAGACAUCUUCACUAAGCCUUUACCGCUGCCACAGUUUGAGGCUUGUAGGCGCAAUCUU